UUAAAGGGUGUUUGCCGCUUACAUGGCAUGCAGGUCCUUUGGAUCUGUAGGGUAUGGCUAUCAAGACAUACCCAACACAUUAUUUUUGUAACGUGGGGCUGUUGGCUGCCUGAGCACCGGCGCCCCC